rnacentral:rRNA from 1 species
UCCUGGUGUAGCGNGUGAAAUGCGCAGAUAUCAGGAGGAACACCGAUGGCGAAGGCAGGUCUUUGGGCUGUUACUGACGCUGAGGAGCGAAAGCAUGGGGAGCGAACAGGAUUAGAUACCCUGGUAGUCCAUGCCGUAAACGUUGGGCACUAGGUGUGGGGAACAUUUNCACGUUUUCCGCGCUGUAGCUAACGCAUUAAGUGCCCCGCCUGGGGAGUACGGCCGCAAGGCUAAAACUCAAAGGAAUUGACGGGGGCCCGCACAAGCGGCGGAGCAUGCGGAUUAAUUCGAUGCAACGCGAAGAACCUUACCAAGGCUUGACAUGCACUAGAUCGCCCUAGAGAUAGGGUUUCCCUUCGGGGCUGGUGUACAGGUGGUGCAUGGUUGUCGUCAGCUCGUGUCGUGAGAUGUUGGGUUAAGUCCCGCAACGAGCGGAACCCCUAUUCUAUGUUGCCAGCAAUUCGGUUGGGGACUCAUGGAAGACUGCCGGGGUCAACUCGGAGGAAGGUGGGGACGACGUCAAAUCAUCAUGCCCCUUAUGUCUUGGGCUUCACGCAUGCUACAAUGGCCGGCACAAUGGGUUGCGAGACUGUGAGGUUGAGCUAAUCCCAUAAAACCGGUCUCAGUUCGGAUUGGGGUCUGCAACUCGACCCCAUGAAGUCGGAGUCGCUAGUAAUCGCAGAUCAGCA